UACGGAGGGUGCAAGCGUUAUUCGGAAUUAUUGGGCGUAAAGAGCGUGUAGGCGGCUUGGUAAGUCAGAUGUGAAAGCCCGGGGCUCAACUCCGGAAGUGCAUUUGAUACUGCUUGGCUUGAGUGCGGGAGAGGAGAGCGGAAUUCCCAGUGUAGAGGUGAAAUUCGUAGAUAUUGGGAGGAACACCGGUGGCGUAGGCGGCUCUCUGGACCGACACUGACGCUGAGACGCGAAAGCGUGGGGAGCAAACAGGAUUAGAUACCCCUGUAGUCC
rnacentral:rRNA from 1 species